rnacentral:tRNA from 1 species
GUCCUAGUAGCUUAAAAUCUAAAGCACUGGUCUUGUAAACCAAAAAUGAGACUUUCCCCUCCUAGGACA